GCACCGCCCAGCGACAUAGCCCAGCGCACAGUGGGCACCGCCCAGCGACAUAGCCCAGCGCACAGUGGCAUAUGCCCAGCGACAUAGCCCAACGCAUGGUGGCAUAGGCCACUGCCCAGCGACAUAGCCCAACGCACAUGGCAUAUGCCCAGCGACAUACCCCAACGCAUGGUGGCAUAGGCCACUGCCCAGCGACAUAGCCCAACGCACAGUGGCCACUGCCCAGCGACAUCGGCCAGCACCCAAGGACACUAGGCCACUGCCCAGCGACAUAGCCCAACGCACAGUGGCCACUGCCCAGCGACAUCGGCCAGCACCCAAGGACACUAGGCCACGUCCAGCGACAUAGCCCCUCGGCUUAGUUGAUCGAACAUGGGAUGGGCGUGUUAAGGGAUUUACAUGAUGGACCCUUGCACGACGCUAUGACGGUUUUAGGAUCAUGUAGCGGCCAGGCCGCCCGACACCAGCGUGGGCGUGUGGCCAGAUUGGCCGACACGGGCGUGGGCGUGUGGCCAGAUUGGCCGACACGGGCGUGGGCGGUUGGCCAGAGUGGCCGACACGGGCGUAGGCGUGCGGCCACACUGGCCGACACGGGCGUGGGCGUGUGGCCAGAGUGGCCGACACGGGCGUAGGCGUGUGGCCACACUGGCCGACACGGGUGUAGGCGUGCGGCCACACUGGCCGACAUGGGCGCUGGCGUGUGCGGCCCAAGACAUGGGGUGCGGCACUAUGGCGUGUGGCUUAGGUGUCAAGACAUGGCAAGACCAUGGGGCAUAGGCAUGGUCAUGGCAAGGCAAGGGCAAGGCAACGCACGGGGCUAAGGCAAGGGCAAGGCAACGCACGGGGCUAAGGCAUGGCAUGGCACGGGACCAUCCGGCGUGCACCACUUCACCACGGGUCGCGCACCACAUCACCAUCCGUCGAUGUACCAAUGCACGUGUCCUCGGUUUGACAACAUACAUUCUCGAUGCAAAAAACUCAAAAGAACGUACGCUACGGAAAAUCAAGCCAUGUUUCUUGGUUUACAUGUGCCCAACCAAGAGCUUGGGGCAUAUGCAUCUUCUAGUCCCCGAGUCUAUUCUCAACGCUUCCAUUAAAGUUCAAUACCCAAUUAUCAUGUUCUUGCAUCUCCCUCACCUUUCUAUGUUACUUUGACAACGUUUUUAUAUUUUACGUAUUUUUUUUUUAAUUUUUCAUUGAUUUUAUGUAUUUUCUUGGAUUUUAAUAUAUUAUAUGUAACAUUAUUUGUACAAAUUUAUAGUGCAUUAUGUAUUUGAAGGUUGUUUGAUGCGUUGGGAAUUUUUUCCUAAAGUUUUUAUAUUUUUCCUACAUUUUUCUAUUAUUUUAUGUAUUUAUUAUAUAUUUUUUGAAUUAAUAAAUUAAUAUUCAAAAAAAAUAUUUUUUUUAUGAAAACUAUUAUUUACAAUGCUUAUAAGUCAUUUGUGAAUGCAUUAGAUGAGUUGUACACUAGAAUGUGCACAUUGGGGUUGUACGGGUUUUGUAUGAUUCUCUGGCAAAACCAUGUCUACUACUGACACUUGGGUUUUUUUUUUUAAAGCAUAUAUAAGGGGGGUAGAGGUGUUGAGGGCACUUCAAGGUGACUGACGCUGGGCGAGGCGUGCGGGCAGCGGGCGUGUGGGCGUGUAGUAGUGUGGGCACAUGGUGUCAUGCAUGGCUAGUCCGUGCUACGACACCGGCGUGCCGUCACGAAAAACGCCGACGACGACCCGGUGCGCGCCCGUAGUAGGCCGGCGGUGGCACAGGUCGCGGGGGCUGUCGGCCAAUGACGGGACGAAGGCGGUGCCUUGGUGUGGUGCGGCGAGUUCUAGGCGCUGGCCCUUGGGGCCGGCUCCCGGGGCGAGCUGCGCGCACGGGGCUAAGCCAGCGACCCGUCGGGCGCCGUCGGCCCGUCGCGGGCUGUGCCCGUGCAGGCAGCUUGGGGGGCCUUCUCCGCCUCAGUGGGCUCGGACGCCCCCCUCGGGCGGGGCGUGGGUUUUCGUGUCUAGCGGGGCUUGCUUUGGCCUUGCGACGCUGGCAUGGGCAGCAGCGCGCGGCAUCUGAUGUCGUGCGCUGGGGCCUGCGUUCGGCGCGCGCGGCUGAAGCAUGGGGACGCACGGCGCGUGAGUGGUGUUCGGCUUGUGCGGUUAGGUUGGAUCCCUGCUUGAGCAGCGACGUCCUAGCCCGCAGGCCAUGUCGGUCGCGGGGCAAGCGCUGCUUAGGCUUGCCGGGAGUCGGUUCCUGUGCUGCAUACCUAAUGCCCCGGCAUUACCACGUGCGAUAAGUUGCCUUUCGCCCCUCGCGCUCGGCGCGCGGGGUGAACCACAAGCUGCCGUCGCGUCCCCCGUCGCCCUCGCUUCGUCGUGCGGUGGCGUGGUGCGCGGCCGGCAGUUCGGGCUCUCGGAUUCGGUAGACGCAGUGGGCAUGGGGGUCUUCGUUGCCCCCUAUCUGCCCGGACGAAUGCUCCUUGCGAACGACGGUCGUGCUCGCCUCGGCCCCGUCCGCGCCCUUCGGGGCCGGCCGGGCUCGUGCGACGCCGGCGUCUAUGAGGAAUGCUACCUGGUUGAUCCUGCCAGUAGUCAUAUGCUUGUCUCAAAGAUUAAGCCAUGCAUGUGUAAGUAUGAACAAA